rnacentral:tRNA from 1 species
GCGCCGCUAGCUCAGAGGCCAGAGCAGCUGACUCUUAAUCAGUGGGUCCCGGGUUCGACUCCCGGGCGGCGUA